rnacentral:rRNA from 1 species
AGUUGGUGGAGUGAUUUGUCUGCUUAAUUGCGUUAACGAACGAGACCUCAGCCUGCUAAAUAGACCGGCCUAUCUUCGGAUAAGUCGCUGUCUUCUUAGAGGGACUGUACCCGCUUUAGGGUAUGGAAGUUUGAGUCUAAAACAGG